UUGACACUUGUCAUGAUUAGACACAGUGACACUGACAAUACAUUUGCCUCUAUCAUAGACCUCUAUUUGGGUCAAGACUCAAGAUAUUAGAUCUAUGGUAUAUUCGAAUUUUUCAAGUGAAAAAAUGUGAAAGAGCAAUUUUUAUUGCUUAAUUCAUACAAAACAAAUAUAUUGGUUAAUGAGGAAGAACCAUAGACCUAAUAAUAAUAAUAAUGUUUAUUCAACAUAAAUAAACAUGGUCUAUCGGAAGAACAAAUUUUACCCAAAUUCCUAAUUAUCUGAAAAUGUAAGCAGAAUUUGGCAGAUUGUUUCUAACGAAACUAAUCAUGGAUAUUUUUAAGUCAUUACUUUCAAAACCAACAGAGAAUAAUGAUGUGGCCUAUUGUUAAAGAAUAGGAGCAGGUAUUCAUUCAAAUAUGGCGAUAGAGAGCUAGAAUAAAUAUCUGAAAUCUAAUAAAAUAGAAGGAAAAGAAAAUAAAAGUUGAAAAGCUAUCAGAUUUGUUGGAAGAAAUAGCUGAUGAGAAGAUGUGGACGAAAAUUAUGAGAAAUGAAAGACCUAACUCCAACAACUAUCAGCAAAAAAUUUCUGUAGAAUCUCAUAAAAAAGCAGAAACAAUGAAAGACUUAAUAGAGGAGAUGACGACAACAAUUUAGAAAUUAAUGAGCCAUCAACAAGUUAACAAUAAUGAAGAUGUGGGACAUUUUAUAGAUUAAACCAUUUCUAGUUCACAAAAUUUCACAUCUAUAAGCAAUGACACAGAAAAUGAUUUGCUGAAAUGUGUAAAACAAUUGAAGACUCUCAAUCCAUAAGGAGAGAGGAGAGUAUUUGCAACUAUCAAUGGAAAAUUUUCCAAACAUAGGGUCAAUGCCAAGAAGAACUAACAUCUAAGAAGUGAAAAUUGAGAAGCAAAUCUAUUUCCCAAGAAAAAAAAUCAAUAAGACUACCAGAACUUCAUAGCAAAUAAUUUAGAUCAUUGAAAUGAGAUUGACAAAAAAUCGAGGUAACAAAUUCUAACUGAACCAGCAUGUUACACAUAUAAGAGAAGUACAAUGUUCAAAUGUGGUUAGAAGAACCAGUCAAUAUCAAAAUAAAAUAUGAUAUACAUCCUUUAUAAAUUAAUGAAAUUAAUUAUAAUCAAUAUAUUAUAUAUAAUAUAAUUAUAUAUCAUUUUGAACAACUGUAAGUUUUCUUACAAUAAACUACUUCCUGUAUUGAUUAUACGAUUUCAUUUCACAUAAUUAUAUCAAAGUGAGUAAUGUAGAUUGAGAACAACUCAAUGAAAGUGUAUUCUUAACUGUAUUGAACAGCCAAAAUUCUCUAUGCUGUAAAGAAUUUGAUACAGACUUCAUUAUAUUUCCAUUAUAUCCUAAUCU